rnacentral:tRNA from 1 species
GGAGGUAUAGCUCAGUCAUAGAGCAUGUGCUUGGCAACCCUGAGAUCCUGGGUUCAAUCCCCAGUGCCUACG